rnacentral:rRNA from 1 species
GUAGGGUGCGAGCGUUAUCGGAAUUACUGGGCGUAAAGCGAGCGCAGACGGUUACUUAAGCAGGAUGUGAAAUCCCCGGGCUCAACCUGGGAACUGCGUUCUGAACUGGGUGACUAGAGUGUGUCAGAGGGAGGUAGAAUCCACGUGUAGCAGUGAAAUGCGUAGAGAUGUGGAGGAAUACCGAUGGCGAAGGCAGCCUCCUGGGAUAACACUGACGUUCAUGCUCGAAAGCGUGGGUAGCAAACAGGAUUAGAUACCCUGGUAGUCAAGGGCG